UUUUAUUGUUCUGGAAUACUC
rnacentral:piRNA from 1 species